GCUUCUUCUCACCUGUUCUUGAAAAUGUUAAGUAUAAGAAUGGAAAUAUUUUUAGCUAGCCAACAAUUUCCUAAAGUCAUUGUGGCCUAAUCCAUCCCAAUCUUGCUCAAACUACUUUUGCUUACUCAUGAACCCAGAUUCAAGAAUGUAUUCUCUUAGUUUUAACAUGAUUCCCUAUGUUGUUUCAGAAGCAUAGAAUCAUUUUUCGAGGUGAAUGUGGUGGGAUAUUUGCAUGGUUCCUGUGACUAAAUU
rnacentral:lncRNA from 1 species